rnacentral:rRNA from 1 species
AACUGAAGAGUUUGAUCAUGGCUCAGAUUGAACGCUGGCGGCAGGCUUAACACAUGCAAGUCGAGCGGAAACGAUGAUAGCUUGCUAUCAGGCGUCGAGCGGCGGACGGGUGAGUAACGCGUAGGAACCUACCCAGUAGUUCGGGAUAGCCCAGAGAAAUUUGGAUUAAUACCGGAUACGCCCUA